rnacentral:rRNA from 1 species
GAUGAACGCUAGCUACAGGCUUAACACAUGCAAGUCGAGGGGCAGCGGGAUUGAAGCUUGCUUCAAUUGCCGGCGACCGGCGCACGGGUGAGUAACGCGUAUCCAACCUUCCGUACACUCAGGGAUAGCCUUUCGAAAGAAAGAUUAAUACCUGAUGGUAUGAUGAGAUUGCAUGAUAUCAUCAUUAAAGAUUUAUCGGUGUACGAUGGGGAUGCGUUCCAUUAGGUAGUAGGCGGGGUAACGGCCCACCUAGCCAACGAUGGAUAGGGGUUCUGAGAGGAAGGGCCCCCACAUUGGAACUGAGACACGGUCCAAACUCCUACGGGAGGCAGCAGUGAGGAAUAUUGGUCAAUGGACGAGAGUCUGAACCAGCCAAGUAGCGUGAAGGAUGAAGGUCCUACGGAUUGUAAACUUCUUUUAUAAGGGAAUAAACCCUCCCACGUGUGGGAGCUUGUAUGUACCUUAUGAAUAAGCAUCGGCUAACUCCGUG